CACACAAGGUCCUCACUAUGGAUCAGAGGUGGAUCAUCCUCUUUCUGGUGGCAGCAGCUACAUGUGUCCACUCCCAGGUCCAGCUGCAGCAGUCUGGGGCUGAGUUGCGGAGGCCUGAAGCCUCAGUGAAGCUCUCCUGCAAGGCUUCAGGCUACACCUUCACCAGCUACUAUAUGCACUGGGUGAAGCAGAGGCCUGGACAGGGCCUGGAGUGGAUUGGAUGGAUUGGUGGUGGAAGUGGUGGUACUAGCUACAAUCAGAAGUUCCAGGGCAAGGCCAAACUGACUGUAGAUAAAUCCUCCAGCACAGCCUACAUGGAGCUCAGCAGCCUGACCUCUGAGGACUCUGCGGUCUAUUACUGUGCAAGACAAGACACAGUGUUACAACCCACAUCCUGA